UGGGGAAUAUUGGACAAUGGGGGGAACCCUGAUCCAGCCAUGCCGCGUGUGUGAAGAAGGCCUUAUGGUUGUAAAGCACUUUAAGCGAGGAGGAGGGUACUGGUAUUAAUACUACCAGCUACUGGACGUUACUCGCAGAAUAAGCACCGGCUAACUCUGUGCCAGCAGCCGCGGUAAUACAGAGGGUGCAAGCGUUAAUCGGAUUUACUGGGCGUAAAGCGUGCGUAGGCGGCUAAUUGAGUCGGAUGUGAAAUCCCCGAGCUUAACUUGGGAAUUGCAUUCGAUACUGGUUAGCUAGAGUGUGGGAGAGGAUGGUAGAAUUCCAGGUGUAGCGGUGAAAUGCGUAGAGAUCUGGAGGAAUACCGAUGGCGAAGGCAGCCAUCUGGCCUAACACUGACGCUGAGGUACGAAAGCAUGGGGAGCAAACAGG
rnacentral:rRNA from 1 species